rnacentral:misc_RNA from 2 species
AAGUCGUAACAAGGUCUCCGUUGGUGAACCAGCGGAGGGAUCAUUACGAGAGUGUCACCACUCCCAACCCAUUGUUUACCUACCCGUCCACCGUGCUUCGGCAGGCAGCCCUGUGGGACAGAGCCUCGCCCCCUCCGGGGGGUGCCUGCCGCUGGCCAAAUCAAAAUUCUAGCUAUCAAGUACCAUCUGAGUCUUCCACAAAUGAACAAAACUUUCAACAACGGAUCUCUUGGUUCUG